rnacentral:rRNA from 1 species
GACGAACGCUGGCGGCGUGCUUAACACAUGCAAGUCGAGCGAGGCCCACCUUUCGGGGUGGUGUCCUAGCGGCGAACGGGUGAGUAACACGUGGGCAACCUGCCCCCGGCUCGGGGAUAACCCCAAGAAAUUGGGGCUAAUACCGGAUACGACCGCUGACCGCAUGGUCUGGUGGUGGAAAGAUUUAUCGGCUGGGGAUGGGCCCGCGGCCUAUCAGCUUGUUGGUGGGGUAGUGGCCUACCAAGGGGACGACGGGUAGCCGGCCUGAGAGGGUGCCCGGCCACACGGGGACUGAGACACGGACCAGACUCCUACGGGAGGAAGCAGUGGGGAAUAUUGCGAAAUGGGCGAAAGCCUGACGCAGCGACGCCGCGUGGGGGAUGACGGCCUUCGGGUUGUAAACCUCUUUCAGCAGGGACGAAGCCCGCAAGGGUGACGGUACCUGCAGAAGAAGCACCGGCCAACUACGUGCCAGCAGCCGCCGUAA